ACGAACGCUGGCGGCAUGCCUAACACAUGCAAGUCGAACGAGACCUUCGGGUCUAGUGGCGCACGGGUGCGUAACGCAUGGGAACCUGCCCUUAGGUUCGGAAUAACUCCCCGAAAGGGGUGCUAAUACCGGAUAAUGUCUUCGGACCAAAGAUUUAUCGCCUUUGGAUGGGCCCGCGUUGGAUUAGCUAGUUGGUAGGGUAAAAGCCUACCAAGGCGACGAUCCAUAGCUGGUCUGAGAGGAUGAUCAGCCACACUGGGACUGAGACACGGCCCAGACUCCUACGGGAGGCAGCAGUGGGGAAUAUUGGACAAUGGGCGAAAGCCUGAUCCAGCAAUGCCGCGUGAGUGAUGAAGGCCUUAGGGUUGUAAAGCUCUUUUACCCGGGAUGAUAAUGACAGUACCGGGAGAAUAAGCUCCGGCUAACUCCGUG
rnacentral:rRNA from 1 species